rnacentral:rRNA from 1 species
CUACGGGUGGCACCAGUGGGGAAUAUUGGACAAUGGGCGCAAGCCUGAUCCAGCCAUGCCGCGUGAGUGAUGAAGGCCCUAGGGUUGUAAAGCUCUUUCAACGGUGAAGAUAAUGACGGUAACCGUAGAAGAAGCCCCGGCUAACUUCGUGCCAGCAGCCGCGGUAAUACGAAGGGGGCUAGCGUUGUUCGGAAUAACUGGGCGUAAAGCGCACGUAGGCGGAAUGUUAAGUGAGGGGUGAAGUCCCGGGGCUCAACCCCGGAACUGCCUUUCAUACUGGCAAUCUAGAGAUCGAGAGAGGUGAGUGGAAUUCCGAGUGUAGAGGUGAAAUUCGUAGAUAUUCGGAGGAACACCAGUGGCGAAGGCGGCUCACUGGCUCGAUACUGACGCUGAGGUGCGAAAGCGUGGGGAGCAAACAGGAUUAGAUACCCCGGUAGUC